UAUCAUUGGGAGACCUUCAUAAGCCAUGGCA
rnacentral:piRNA from 1 species